CAAGGAACUAGAUUUAAGCUUUGGAGGGAUCGGAAAUUAAGGGACUGUAAGGAGGAUGUGAUUCAUACUAUUCUCCCUCUCCCCCUCCCACACACGACCGUAAGUCUCCCCGCUCGGCCUUCGGGGACGCGGCCCUGAUCUCUCCGCGGCCUGUGUCCCUGUCGCUUGCUCCUGUCGCUCCGGACCACUGUGUCUGGGGCGCCCUCCGCCUGGCUUCUCCUAGCCCCCGGGAGGAGGCGCUGGUGCCCGGGUCGGCCUCCGGUCCCUCCCAGCCGGCGUCCUGGAGCCCCCAUUCACAAAGCUCGGCUUGGAGGAGGCGACACACACACACACACACACACACACACACACACAGCUCGGCUUGGAGGAGGCGACACACACACACACACACACACACACACACACACACACACACACACACAGCGAAGAGGGGAGUUUGAUCUUGUCUCAUUGGCGUCUCGGGCCUGAAAAGGAAAAUCGUUUGGGUAAACAGCCAAGCUUCCAGGCUUAACGCCCGGCUCCCGCCCCCGCCCCUCCGCCCCCUCCCGCCUCCCCCACUCCCCUUCAACCCCACCCGCCACCCACACUCCGCUCCGCAGCCGGGCCCCGAGCGAGCUCCGCGCGCCCGGGCGGGAGCCGAGGGCUCCCCGGGUUCAAAGGGCCGCAGCCCCGAGGGAAUGCCCUCCUCGCUGUGCCCCGGGGGGCAGAAGCGGACUGCAGGGCGGUGGGACCGGCCUGGGCCACGAUGGUGUUCAAUGACAAAAGCCAAAUUAUUUGCAGAACUCCAGGACAUGCAUCUUUCUGCUGAGAAAACCAGUCAUUAUCAAAAAUAGUAACUCAAGAUCUGAGCUAAGUGAAACCAGAGUCCUUGAAAGGCGGCUAUCUUCAGUUCCCCCCUGCCCAAAGCCCUCCCAGUCACUCUACAUGGAUACAGAUAUGACUUGCUUUUGUUACAGUUAGAUCACAGAACCUCAGGUACGAAUAGUUUUCAUUUUAUGUCACUUCCCAACGAAAUCUUGCAAACAAGCCCAGACAGGAGCCGGUGUUUUCCUACACAUGUUAACAUUGACCUUGCCACUUUGAAC
rnacentral:lncRNA from 1 species